rnacentral:rRNA from 1 species
AGGCAGCAGUGGGGAAUCUUAGACAUGGGCGCAAGCCUGAUCUAGCCAUGCCGCGUGUGUGACGAAGGCCUUAGGGUCGUAAAGCACUUUCGCCUGUGAUGAUAAUGACAGUAGCAGGUAAAGAAACCCCGGCUAACUCCGUGCCAGCAGCCGCGGUAAUACGGAGGGGGUUAGCGUUGUUUGGAAUUACUGGGCGUAAAGCGCACGUAGGCGGAUUGGAAAGUAUGGGGUGAAAUCCCAGGGCUCAACCCUGGAACUGCCUCAUAAACUUCCAGUCUAGAGUUCGAGAGAGGUGAGUGGAAUUCCGAGUGUAGAGGUGAAAUUCGUAGAUAUUCGGAGGAACACCAGUGGCGAAGGCGGCUCACUGGCUCGAUACUGACGCUGAGGUGCGAAAGUGUGGGGAGCAAACAGGAUUAGAUACCCUGGUAGUCCACACCGUAAACGAUGAAUGCCAGUCGUCGGCAAGCAUGCUUGUCGGUGACACACCUAACGGAUUAAGCAUUCCGCCUGGGGAGUACGGUCGCAAGAUUAAAACUCAAAUGAAUUGACGG